UACAGAGGGUGCUAGCGUUGUUCGGAAUCAUUGGGCGUAAAGAGCGUGUAGGCGGCCAGAUAGGUCAGCUGUGAAAACUCGAGGCUCAACCUCGAGACGUCGGUUGAAACCAUCUGGCUAGAGUCCGGAAGAGGAGAGUGGAAUUCCCGGUGUAGCGGUGAAAUGCGCAGAUAUCGGGAAGAACACCCGUGGCGAAGGCGGGCUCUCUGGGACGGUACUGACGCUGAGACGCGAAAGCGUGGGGAGCGAACAGG
rnacentral:rRNA from 1 species